rnacentral:rRNA from 1 species
UACGAAGGGGGCUAGCGUUGUUCGGAAUCACUGGGCGUAAAGCGCACGUAGGCGGAUCUUUAAGUCAGGGGUGAAAUCCCGAGGCUCAACCUCGGAACUGCCUUUGAUACUGGGGAUCUCGAGUCCGGGAGAGGUGAGUGGAACUGCGAGUGUAGAGGUGAAAUUCGUAGAUAUUCGGAAGAACACCAGUGGCGAAGGCGGCUCACUGGCCCGGAACUGACGCUGAGGUGCGAAAGCGUGGGGAGCAAACAGG